GACGAACGCUGGCGGCGUGCCUAAUACAUGCAAGUAGGACGCAGUUGCGAACGGGUGAGUAACGCGUAGGUAACUACCUAUUAGAGGGGGAUAACUAUUGGAAACGAUAGCUAAUACCGCAUACUAGUAGAUGGACCUGCGUUGUAUUAGCUAGUAGGUAGGGUAAUGGCCUACCUAGGCAACGAUACAUAGCCGACCCGGGGUGGUGAUGGGGCACAACUGGAAUGAGACACCGGCCAGAACCCUACGGGAUGGAGCAGUAGGGAAUCGUCGGCAAUGGGGCGAAACCUGACCGGACAACGGCGGCGGAGUGAAGAAGGUUUUCGGAUCGGAAAGCUCUGGUGUUAAGGGAGCGGUACUUAACCAGAAAGGGACGGCUAACUACGUGCCAGCAGCCGCGGUAAUAC
rnacentral:rRNA from 1 species